rnacentral:sRNA from 1 species
AGCGCGAACCCACAGAACCAGGAAAGUAACGGCUACAGACAGUGAGAAAUCGUUUCGCUCGCCGGCUAGAAAAACUCUGUCGGUACCAACCCCAGAGCGUUGAGAGCAGCCCACCUCCACGCUUCCUUAACGGAGAGGUGCAGGACUCAGACUUCACCAGCCCACUCGGUCCCAGCCUUGUACGCAAAGAGACGCCGAGGACGCGCUCUCCCGCGUCCAGGCAGCCCCAGCUUGCUGGCUUGCCUGCCAGCCUGCGUGCAGCACUCGGCCGGCGUGCAGCAUGACCCUGUGGAACGGCGUACUGCCUUUUUACCCCCAGCCCCGGCAUGCCGCAGGCUUCAGCGUUCCACUGCUCAUCGUUAUUCUAGUGUUUUUGGCUCUAGCAGCAAGCUUCCUGCUCAUCUUGCCGGGGAUCCGUGGCCACUCGCGCUGGUUUUGGUUGGUGAGAGUUCUUCUCAGUCUGUUCAUAGGCGCAGAAAUUGUGGCUGUGCACUUCAGUGCAGAAUGGUUCGUGGGUAGAGUGAACACCAACACAUCCUACAAAGCCUUCAGCGCAGCGCGCGUUACAGCCCGUGUCGGUCUGCUCGUGGGCCUGGAGGGCAUUAAUAUUACACUCACAGGGACCCCAGUGCAUCAGCUGAACGAGACCAUUGACUACAACGAGCAGUUCACCUGGCGUCUGAAAGAGAAUUACGCCGCGGAGUACGCGAACGCACUGGAGAAGGGGCUGCCGGACCCAGUGCUCUACCUGGCGGAGAAGUUCACACCGAGUAGCCCUUGCGGCCUGUACCACCAGUACCACCUGGCGGGACACUACGCCUCGGCCACGCUAUGGUAAGCGCUGGAGGGAAGGCUGUGUGCACGUGUGUGUGUGCCGGGAGCUGGGCCGUAUGAGCGGGAGGAUGCAGGCCUCGGAGGCGCUGAGCAGCUGCAGCCAGACCCGACGCGCUCGGGGUGGGCAUGACAGCCUCGCGGGUUAGAAGAUCCACGAGAUCUGCACAGACGGAAUCCGGAGAGACUCCAGCCACCGCCUGGACCUCAGGAGCCCGCUUCUCCCCCGGGGAAUUCCCCUGCGCCGCUGCCAUCCCAGCCCCUGGCUUUGGCGCUGGGAUAGGGAUAAAGAAGAGCGAGGCUGUGGGAACCCCGGUGGGCUGGGAGAAGCCCGCUCACAGCGCGUCCCCCUACUCCCCGGCAGGGUGGCGUUCUGCUUCUGGCUCCUCUCCAACGUGCUGCUCUCCACGCCGGCCCCGCUCUACGGAGGCCUAGCACUGCUGACCACCGGAGCCUUCGCGCUCUUCGGGGUCUUCGCCUUGGCCUCCAUCUCCAGCGUGCCGCUCUGCCCGCUCCGCCUAGGCUCCUCCGCGCUCACCACUCAGUAUGGCGCCGCCUUCUGGGUCACGCUGGCAACCGGCGUCCUGUGCCUCUUCCUCGGA